GGCGAAAGCCCCACCAUCCAUCCGCUCUGCCUCCAUCUCCCUCAUUCUGAAUGGACGCUUCCUUCCUUGGUGUAACUCUCCCAGCCAGGUGGAGGGCUGAAAGGCUGCCUCCAUCAAGUAAUUAUGCUAAUACGUGAUAAAUGCCCUAACAGAUAUAGGUAAGGAACUCCGGGAGCACAGAGAAGGGUAUGGUUAAUCCUGCCUGGGAUGGUGAGCAGGAAUUUCACAGAGGAAGAUAUAGUCAAGG
rnacentral:lncRNA from 1 species